rnacentral:rRNA from 1 species
ACGUAGGGGGCAAGCGUUGUCCGGAUUCACUGGGUGUAAAGGGCGCGUAGGUGGAUUUGUAAGUCAGAGGUGAAAUCCUGCAGCUUAACUGUAGAACUGCCUCUGAUACUGUUAAUCUUGAGUUCAGAAGAGAGAAGCGGAAUUCCAGGUGUAGUAGUGAAAUACGUAGAUAUCGGGAAGAACACCUGUGGCGAAGGCGGCUUACUGGACUGAACCUGACACUGAGUCGCGAAAGCGUGGGGAGCAAACAG